UUUACAAAAUAAUAGCCAUUAUAGUCUUUCAGUGAUACGAGCAGUUACACACAUGGGAUAAAAUAAUACCGGGCCAUUGUAAAUGGAGGUGAUCACCAUUUCAUCUCCAUGGUCUAGACAUUG